UUCAAAUUUUAAUAUUAUCGGGUAUAUCGGCCUUAUCGGAUGAGGCAGAUUAAGGCUUAUCCGUAGCCGUAGGUUUACAGGUUUAGAUAUAACUUACGAAUCUUUUUGCAAAAACUUUGUAAAAUCAUUUCCAUUAUUUAACUCUAGAAGUCAUUCAUCAGUUACCGUAUCAUAAUUUUUUACAACGAUUUGAGUAUGUGCUUAUAAUAUAAAUUGAGCUGUUAAUAGUUUGACGUUGUACAGUUGAACUAUGUCAGACGAAACUGAAAUUAUUUGUAGGCUAUGUGGACUUUCGUGAAGACUGGGAAGAUUGGGAAAACAUCAAAUCGCAAACUUUGAACGUUUGCUGAGAGUCUGUGCCAAUCAUGAAUCCUAAUCAUCCUAUCCCGGAAUAAAUUAUCUUAGCCACAUCUCAAAUCUUUACUGGAGUUUUGCAAAGACCUAAUUUAAAAAUUGAACAAAAAAGAAAAAUUAAAUGAUGUCAAAGAUUUGCUCAAUCUAGUAUGUUUGCACCUAUGUAUUAAUUUGUUACGUAUUCUUCGUAUCCUAAAUUGAUUUUGUUGUAAUCUAAUGAAGUUUUCUAUUUUUCUAUUUCAUCAUAUUUGUGUAAUGAUAGUAUUUUCGCACUUCUGUAUUUGUUGAUUCAUGAAUAAACCGCAUAUACGUCAUAUACUAUAAUGACGUAUAAAGUUUUCUAUUUUUCUAUUUCAUCCUAUUUGUGGAAUGAUACGUUUUGUACUGAUUAAAACUAUUUCUA
rnacentral:misc_RNA from 1 species